rnacentral:rRNA from 1 species
UACGUAGGGGGCUAGCGUUGUCCGGAUUUAUUGGGCGUAAAGAGCGUGUAGGCGGCCAGGUAGGUCUGGUGUGAAAACUCGAGGCUUAACCUCGAGAUGUCAUCGGAAACCAUUUGGCUAGAGUCCGGAAGAGGAGAGUGGAAUUCCUGGUGUAGCGGUGAAAUGCGCAGAUAUCAGGAGGAACACCAAUAGCGAAGGCAGCUCGCUGGGACGUUACUGACACUGAGGCGCGAAAGCGUGGGGAGCGAACAGG